GGGCCCAUAGCUCAGCCUGGUAGAGCAGUAGACUUUUAAUCUAUUGGCCGUAGGUUCAAAUCCUACUGGGCUCA
rnacentral:tRNA from 1 species